ACGGUAACAGGAAGCAGCUUGCUGUUUCGCUGACGAGUGGCGGACGGGUGAGUAAUGUCUGGGAAACUGCCUGAUGGAGGGGGAUAACUACUGGAAACGGUAGCUAAUACCGCAUAACGUCGCAAGACCAAAGAGGGGGACCUUCGGGCCUCUUGCCAUCGGAUGUGCCCAGAUGGGAUUAGCUAGUAGGUGGGGUAAAGGCUCACCUAGGCGACGAUCCCUAGCUGGUCUGAGAGGAUGACCAGCCACACUGGAACUGAGACACGGUCCAGACUCCUACGGGAGGCAGCAGUGGGGAAUAUUGCACAAUGGGCGCAAGCCUGAUGCAGCCAUGCCGCGUGUAUGAAGAAGGCCUUCGGGUUGUAAAGUACUUUCAGCGGGGAGGAAGGGAGUAAAGUUAAUACCUUUGCUCAUUGACGUUACCCGCAGAAGAAGCACCGGCUAACUCCGUGCCAGCAGCCGCGGUAAUACGGAGGGUGCAAGCGUUAAUCGGAAUUACUGGGCGUAAAGCGCACGCAGGCGGUUUGUUAAGUCAGAUGUGAAAUCCCCGGGCUCAACCUGGGAACUGCAUCUGAUACUGGCAAGCUUGAGUCUCGUAGAGGGGGGUAGAAUUCCAGGUGUAGCGGUGAAAUGCGUAGAGAUCUGGAGGAAUACCGGUGGCGAAGGCGGCCCCCUGGACGAAGACUGACGCUCAG
rnacentral:rRNA from 1 species